GAUGAACGCUGGCGGCGUGCCUAAUACGUGCAAGUCGAGCGAACAGACGAGGAGCUUGCUCCUCUGACGUUAGCGGCGGACGGGUGAGUAACACGUGGAUAACCUACCUAUAAGACUGGGAUAACUUCGGGAAACCGGAGCUAAUACCGGAUAAUAUAUUGAACCGCAUGGUUCAAUAGUGAAAGACGGUUUUGCUGUCACUUAUAGAUGGAUCCGCGCCGCAUUAGCUAGUUGGUAAGGUAACGGCUUACCAAGGCAACGAUGCGUAGCCGACCUGAGAGGGUGAUCGACCACACUGGAACUGAGACACGGUCCAGACUCCUGCGGUGGGCAGCAGUAGGGAAUCUUCCGCAAUGGACGAAAGCCUGACGGAGCAACGCCGCGUGAGUGAUGAAGGUCUUCGGAUCGUAGAACUCUGUUAUUAGGGAAGAACAAAUGUGUAAGUAACUAUGCACGUCUUGACGGUACCUGGUCAGAAAGCCACGGCUAACUACGUG
rnacentral:rRNA from 1 species